UUCGAGGCAAAAAAGGAGCUACUCACAUUGCCGGGUGCAGACCAAAUCUGCCACCCGGAAUAUAGCUUUUGCGUGGAUGCCGAAAUCCUGGAACUGCUCUGCUGUGUGUCCGGUUGUGUGUCCGGCUGGGUAGGCCACCUCUGGC